CUGAAAGCAUCUAAGCGGGAAGCGCGCCUCAAGAUGAGACUUCCCGGGGCACAAGCCCCCUAAAGGAACCAUGUAGACUACGUGGUUGAUAGGUCAGGUGUGUAAGUAGCAUCUAAGCGGGAAGCGCGCCUCAAGAUGAGACUUCCCGGGGCACAAGCCCCCUAAAGGAACCAUGUAGACUACGUGGUUGAUAGGUCAGGUGUGUAAGUACAGCAAUGUAUUGAGCUAACUGAUACUAAUGAUCCGUGCGGCUUGACCAUAUAACCUCA
rnacentral:rRNA from 1 species